rnacentral:lncRNA from 8 species
UCUCCUGUUUCUGUAGCGUGAGGCAGCCAGAACGGCCCGGCCCAUAGGGCAGGAGUCCAUCUCCUGUUUCUGUAGCGUGAGGCAGCCAGAACGGCCCGGCCCAUAGGGCAGGAGUCCAUCUCCUGUUUCUGUAGCGUGAGGCAGCCAGAACGGCCCGGCCCAUAGGGCAGCAGUCCAUCUCCUGUUUCUGUAGCGAGAGGCAGCCAGAACGGCCCAUAGGGCAGGAGUCCAUCUCCUGUUUCUGUAGCGUGAGGCAGCUUGAUGUACUAGUACACCCCCUGGACUAGUCUCAACAAUUUCAACAUAACUGAUCAUCUUUAUUGUAUAUUCCAGGCUGCACAUCAGGAAGUUGGGAGGCCUGUGUUUAUACACCCUGAUGACAGUGUGAAAGACUGUGAGGAUGUUGGAGGAGAGAUGCCCUGGCCUCUACAGGGAAGAGAGAGACCCUGGCCUCUACAGGGAGGAGAGAGACCCUGGCCUCUACAGGGAAGAGAGAGACCCUGGCCUCUACAGGGAAGAGAGAGACCCUGGCCUCUACAGGGAAGAGAGAGACCCUGGCCUCUACAGGGAGGAGAGAGACCCUGGCCUCUACAGGGAAGAGAGAGACCCUGGCCUCUACAGGGAGGAGAGAGGCCCUGGCCUCUACAGGGAGGAGAGAGACCCUGGCCUCUACAGGCAGGAGAGAGUCCCCGUCCUCUACAGGGAGGAGCGAGACCCUGGCCUCUACAGGGAGGAGAGAGGCCCUGCCCUCUGAAGACGGCCUCAGUAGAUUCCUCCUGGAGAAGCAGCCAGCGAUCACACGUUAACUACUAUGGUGGUUACCUGGGUGGGGCCCAGCAGGGACGGAGACUGAAACAAGGCAAUGCAGACACGAAAAAGGACAACACAUCCUCGGACCCCAGCCUUUCCAGAUUUCAUCUCCCUCCCCUUUUUUCUGGCUCAGUGGUCAGUCUGGACCAGGACAGGGACCAGGACAGUAGUGUGAGGAAACCAAGGAGUCCAGGUGGGACGUUCCUGCCACUCAGACAUGAGGCGUAUGUCAGCCCCGAGGAUCCGGCCCAGACCCAUCCAGAGAGGGCCCACCUGGAGAAGCCAGGACCCAGGAAGCUGCUGCUCUCAGUGCUACUACCCCUUGGACAUCCAGAAGGGGAGGAGGAGCAGACUCCACGUGUUGGUGUCCACUACAAGCCAUCAGUGGAGGAGAGAUGGGAGCCUAACUGUGGAGAGAUGGGACACAAAAGAGAGAGCACUAGAAGAUGGGAAGGAGAAGGACGAGGAGGAGGAGGAGGAGGAGGAGGACGAGGAGGAGGAGGAGGACGAGGAGGAGGACGAGGUCUCCCUGAGAAAGGCUCUAAGCAGACCGGGCCUGAGCAGAACGGUCUCUCCCUAUUACAGCCUGGGGAAGGUAUUCUGAUCACUAAUGUCGUGUCUUUGGCCAUCAUUAACUUGAAGACAUGUUUAUCAAAAUAACUCCCUGUAAUUAUUAUUACGCGAUUAAACUGAUUAAUCGUUUAACUGUAAUUAACUAGGAGAUCGGGGCACCAAGGAAAAUAUUCAGAUUACAAAGUUAUAGUUUCNNNNNNNNNNNNNNNNNNNNCCUCUACCACUAGGCUACCUGCCUCCUCUAACCACUAGGCUACCUGCCUCCUCUCUAACCACUAGGCUACCUGCCUCCUCUCUAACCACUAGGCUACCUGCCUCCUCUAACCACUAGGCUACCUGCCUCCUCUAACCACUAGGCUACCUGCCCCUCUAACCACUAGACUCUCUGCCCCUCUAACCACUAGGCUACCUGCCCCCUCUAACCACUAGGCUACCUGCCUCCUCUAACCACUAGGCUACCUACCUCCUCUAACCACUAGGCUACCUGCCUCCUCUAACCACUAGGCUACCUGCCCCUCUAACCACUAGGCUACCUGCCCCUCUAACCACUAGGCUACCUGCCUCCUCUAACCACUAGGCUACCUGCCUCCUCUAACCACUAGGCUACCUGCCUCCUCUAACCACUAGGCUACCUGCCCCUCUAACCACUAGGCUACCUGCCCCUCUAACCACUAGGCUACCUGCCUCCUCUAACCACUAGGCUACCUGCCUCCUCUUACCACUAGGCUACCUGCCUCCUCUAACCACUAGGCUACCUGCCUCCUCUAACCACUAGGCUACCUGCCCCUCUAACCACUAGACUCUCUGCCCCUCUAACCACUAGGCUACCUGCCCCCUCUAACCACUAGGCUACCUGCCUCCUCUAACCACUAGGCUACCUACCUCCUCUAACCACUAGGCUACCUGCCUCCUCUAACCACUAGGCUACCUGCCCCNNNNNNNNNNNNNNNNNNNNUCAGCGUAGUUAGCUAUAGCUUGGCUACUCAUGAUAUUUUGCAUGUUUGUAUGACAUAUUGCUUUGAGAUUUCUUUAUGUUAUGAAAAGCGCUAUAGAAGUUUAAUAAAUUAUAAUGAUUUAGUGUGAAAGACUGUGAGGAUGUUGGAGGAGAGAUGCCCUGGCCUCUACAGGGAAGAGAGAGACCCUGGCCUCUACAGGGAGGAGAGAGACCCUGGCCUCUACAGGGAAGAGAGAGACCCUGGCCUCUACAGGGAGGAGAGAGACCCUGGCCUCUACAGGGAGGAGAGAGACCCUGGCCUCNNNNNNNNNNNNNNNNNNNNNNACCUAGGAGUAUACCUAGAACCUAGGAGUCUACCUAGAACCUAUGAGUCUACCUAGAACCUAGGAGUGAGUCUACCUAGAGAGUCUACCCAGAACCUAGGAGUCUACCUAGAACCUAGGAGUCUACCUAGAACCUAGGAGUCUACCUAGGAGUCUACCUAGAAACUAGGAGUCUACCCAGAACCUAGGAGUCUACCUAGAACCUAGGAAUCUACCUAGAACCUAGGAGUCUACCUAGAAACUAGGAGUCUACCCAGAACCUAGGAGUCUACCUAGAACCUAGGAGUCUACACAGAACCUAGGAGUCUACCCAGAACCUAGGAGUCUACAUAGAACCUAGGAGUCUACCUAGAACCUAGGAGUCUACCUAGAACCUAGGAAUCUACCUAGAACCUAGGAGUCUACCUAGAACCUAGGAGUCUACCUAGAACCUAGGAGUCUACCCAGAACCUAGUAGUCUACAUAGAACCU